AACGCACCUUGCGCUCCUUGGUAUUCCUUGGAGCAUGCCUGUUUGAGUAUCAUGAAAUCUUCAAAAUCAAUCUUUUUGUUAACUCAAUUAGUUUGAUUUUGGUAUUGGAGGUCUUUUGCAGCUUCACACCUGCUCCUCUUUGUGUAUUAGCUGGAUCUCAGUGUUAUGCUUGGUUCCACUCAGCGUGAUAAAUUAUCUAUCGCUGAGGACACUGUAAAAAGUGGCCAAGGUAAAUGCAGAUGAACCGCUUCUAAUAGUCCAUUGACUUGGACACUAUUAUUAUGAUCUGAUCUCAAAUCAGGUAGGACUACCCGCUGAACUUAA
rnacentral:misc_RNA from 1 species